rnacentral:rRNA from 1 species
GAAAUUACGCCUUCCAUGAAGCUGGAAUUGCUAGUAAUGGCAGGUCAGCAUACUGCCGUGAAUACGUUCCCGGGCCUUGUACACACCGCCCGUCACACCAUGAGAGUUGGAAAUACCCGAAGCCUGUGAGCUAACUUAAAGAGGCAGCAGUCGAAGGUAGAGCCAAUGAUUGGGGUGAAGUCGUAACAAGGUAAC